GACGAACGCUGGCGGCGUGCUUAACACAUGCAAGUCGAACGCUGAAGCUCAGCUUUUGUUGGGUGGAUGAGUGGCGAACGUGUGUGUAACACGUGAGUAACCUGCCUCCUUCUUUGUGAUAACGCCCGGAAACGGGUGCUAAUACUGGAUAUUCACUGGUCUUCGCCUGGGGGUUGGUGGUAAGGGUUUUUCUGGUGGGGGAUGGGCUCGCGGCCUAUCAGCUUGUUGGUGUGGUGAUGGCCUACCAAUGCUUUGACGGGUAGCGGGACUGAGAGGGUGACCGGUAACAGAGGGACGGAGAGACGGCCCAGACUCGUACGGGAGGAAGAAGUGGGGAAUAUGGAACAAUGGGGGAAAGACUGAUGCAGCGACGCGGCGUGAGGGAUGGAGGCCGUCGGGUUGUGAACCUCUGUCGCGCAAGGUCAAGCCGAAACAAUGGUUGUGGGGAGGGUAGUGGGUAAAGAAGCGCCGGCUAACUACGUG
rnacentral:rRNA from 1 species